rnacentral:rRNA from 1 species
UACGUAGGGUGCAAGCGUUAAUCGGAAUUACUGGGCGUAAAGCGUGCGCAGGCGGUUUUGUAAGUCUGUCGUGAAAUCCCCGGGCUCAACCUGGGAAUUGCGAUGGAGACUGCAAGGCUAGAAUCUGGCAGAGGGGGGUAGAAUUCCACGUGUAGCAGUGAAAUGCGUAGAGAUGUGGAGGAACACCGAUGGCGAAGGCAGCCCCCUGGGUCAAGAUUGACGCUCAUGCACGAAAGCGUGGGGAGCAAACGAGGAUUAGAAACCCCGUGUAA